rnacentral:rRNA from 1 species
AUUGAACGCUGGCGGCAGGCCUAACACAUGCAAGUCGAGCGGGGUUUUCGGACCUAGCGGCGGACGGGUAAGUAAUGCGUAGGAAGCUGCCCGAUAGAGGGGGAUACCAGUUGGAAACGACUGUUAAUACCGCAUAAUGUCUACGGACCAAAGUGUGGGACCUUCGGGCCACAUGCUAUCGGAUGCGCCUACGUGGGAUU